UACGAAGGGGGCUAGCGUUGUUCGGAUUUACUGGGCGUAAAGCGCGUGUAGGCGGGUCGUUAAGUUGGGGGUGAAAUCCCGAGGCUCAACCUCGGAACUGCCUUCAAAACUGGCGACCUGGAGCAAGGUAGAGGCAAGUGGAAUUGCGAGUGUAGAGGUGAAAUUCGUAGAUAUUCGCAGGAACACCAGUGGCGAAGGCGACUUGCUGGAUCUUUGCUGACGCUGAGACGCGAAAGCGUGGGGAGCAAACAGG
rnacentral:rRNA from 1 species